rnacentral:lncRNA from 1 species
UAUAGGUGAAAUAGAUAUAGGGCAUAUAUUCAACAAAAUUUAAAAAAAAAAUCAUAUGGAAUGUAAAAAUAUUUCAUGUCAAUCAUUUAAUACGUUAAAGAUAACCAUGUGUAUAAAACAUUUACUUGAUCUUCAUUCUCAUACUAAACAUAUCACAAAAAUACUUUUGUAUUGCAAAUGACAAUAUGAAUAUUUAGAAUUAGAAUCCCAAAAGUAUAUGUUUUUCUUGAUUUAUGCAUUUAUUACU